GGACUUAUGGCUUAGUGGUUAUAUCGCUGCACCUAUCAACAUGAGGUCUUUGGUUCAAUUCCAGCCAUUUGCA